rnacentral:misc_RNA from 1 species
ACAGAGAAUCCAACUGCAGAGGAAUGCAGUUACUUCUGUGUUAAGGACUGUGUUCCUGGAAAGUGCAGAAAAAAUAAGACAUGCUCAUUGUGCAAACCCGGGUAUUAUGGUGCUAAAUGCCAAAAAUGUCCAAAUGGAACAUUGUGUGGUGAAGACUGUCUCGAAAAUGGUGAAUGUCUAGGUCACUGUGAUGAAGGUUGGUUUGGGCCCGACUGUGAUAAAAAAUGUUCAAGUCCCUGUAGGAAUUGCUUGCUGUCUGCCGACAAUUGUACCGAAUGCUAUUAUGGAAUUCCUCCUCAUUGCCGCAGUGAAAAAUUUACUUCUGAUGAUGCGAUGACAAUGAUGGUUGCAGGAGGGGGAGGACUACUAAUACUAACGUUUUUAUUUAUUUGCUUCCUUAACAUAAUCAGACGCUUGUGUGUCACACCGCCUAUUCAUUCCUAUGGUUUUAUUGAGACCCAGGACAAUGAAAUGAUGCCUCUACCACAUUCUCACCAGUACACAGACCCAGAACCACCAGACGAUUACAUGAACACCUCACACCGACUCUCCAUUGACGAGUUCCUUCUCCGGGUUCCACAUAAAAAGCUUAACCAUGGACUUCAAAGGGAAUUCAAGAGAAUACCCCACACUAUGACAGAUUCAUAUGACGCAGCGGUAGAUCCUAAAAACAAAUAUAGAAACCGCUACAAAAACGUUUAUCCGUAUGAUUUUAGUCGCGUAGUUCUGGAUACUUCCGACAUAGCAGGAAGUGGAGAUUAUAUAAAUGCCUGCUUCGUCCAUGGUUUAGAAAAACGGCGAGCUUAUAUAGCUGCACAAGGUCCAUUUACAGAGGAGACAGUUUUGGAUUUUUGGCGAAUGGUCUGGCAAAUGAGAAGUGUGAAAAUAGUAAUGUUGACGAAUCUUUUAGAGAAUGGGAAGAUGAAAUGUAUAAGAUACUGGCCAAACACAGAAACUCGAAUAGGACCGUUCUUUAUAAGAACAGAAAACCACAACACCUCACGGCGGUACACAAUUAGACAUAUUACAAUCAGAAAGGGCAUUGAGGUUAGACACGUGACCCAGUACCAGUAUACAGACUGGCUCACCACAAGAGUUCCCGCCAAUGUAGACUCCAUUUUGAUGUUUAGAAACCUGAUAAACUGUGAUAUUUCUGACACUGAUGGGCCAAUCAUUAUUCAUUGCAGUUCUGGCACAGGGAGGACGGGGACAUUCAUUGCAUUGGAUUACUUGUUAACUGAGGGAACAGAGACGGGAACUGUUGAUGUGGACGGUUGUAUCCGGGCACUUCGGGAACAGAGAGCGUAUGCCGUCCAGUCCUCUGAUGAAUACGGUUUUCUUCACGACGCAUUGGUUGAAGGAUUCACAUGUGCUCAAGAAAACGGAAUAUUCGAAAUGGAUGUCAGUGUUUAGAUUUUUUACAUUGAUAUUUAUAUGUACAUGUUUUGUUGUAUCACCUGCAUAAAGAUAAAGAACUAAUCGUCUGCU